rnacentral:rRNA from 1 species
GGAGGAAAGCAGGGGAUCGCAAGACCUUGCGCUUUUGGAGUGGCCGAUGCCUGAUUAGCUAGUUGGUGGGGUAAGAGCCUACCAAGGCGACGAUCAGUAGUUGGUCUGAGAGGACGACCAGCCACACUGGGACUGAGACACGGCCCAGACUCCUACGGGAGGCAGCAGUGGGGAAUUUUGGACAAUGGGCGAAAGCCUGAUCCAGCAAUGCCGCGUGAGUGAAGAAGGCCUUCGGGUUGUAAAGCUCUUUCAGUCGAGAAGAAAAGGUUGCGACUAAUAAUCGCAACUUAUGACGGUAUCGACAGAAGAAGCACCGGCUAACUACGUGCCAGCAGCCGCGGUAAUACGUAGGGUGCGAGCGUUAAUCGGAAUUACUGGGCGUAAAGGGUGCGCAGGCGGCUCUGUAAGUCAGAUGUGAAAUCCCCGGGCUUAACCUGGGAAU